UGGGGGGUAGUUUAUAAUAGAUCAGUUGGUUUCGGGCCGACGGGAGGCUCGUGCGAGCCCUCCCUAG
rnacentral:tRNA from 1 species